rnacentral:tRNA from 1 species
UAAGAAUAAAGUCAUCCAUAGAAAUUUGAUUUCUAAAAAGAUAGCAAUAUCUAUUUAUCUUAA